AAAAGCCUUAAAUUUUAUAUAUUUGCAAAGAAAAGAUAACUUUGCUAAUUUUUUUUAGUAAUUAGUUAUAAUUACAUGUGGCACUGUGUUACAUUACCUUCUUUGUAGACUAAGAGAUACAAGUAGACUUUUCAAAGUCAGAUCAAGCAGAAGGAACAGAGGGAUCGGCUUGAUAACUGCAUACAGGUGCAAAGGUCAGGAUAUGCUUAGGGAUAGCAAAAAUCACUUUAUGGCAAGAACUUAAGAUACAGGGGAAAGCUAAAGAUAAAAAAGGGAAGAGAGGUUGGGUUCACGUUGCAGAAGUCUUUGAAUGACAGACCAGAAAAACUGUAUUUUAUUCUAUAAGCAAUGAGGAGACAUAUUAAAAAUUAAAGUAGGGUAGUGAUAUAAUAGGAAUAAUUCUCAAACUCUGGAAACAAAAUAAGAGACAUCAGGAAGUCAAAGAGUCUAAAGGAGGAAAAUCAUUUUGAAAUGCAGCAGCUGGAAACAUGCCAUUCCAGAGAACACCUGCCAUCAAGUUGGCCAGGAUUGUCCAGUAGACACUGCAGCCUCAAUGAUUACCGUGGUUACCUGUGAACAUAAAUCAAAAUGUGCAAGAAAGAUAGAUGGCAUGAAAAUUGUUCAACAACGUCAGAAAGCUGGUGAGGAAAAAUAUUCCUUCUUAAAGUCUACACCACUUCUUAAAGUUGUUCUUAAAGUACACCAACAGUGUGGCGUACGUCAUGUUGAAACUGUAAUCUGAAUGGACAGCAAUAAACAUAACAUGGAGCAAGCA
rnacentral:lncRNA from 1 species